UACGAAGGGGGCUAGCGUUGCUCGGAAUCACUGGGCGUAAAGCGCACGUAGGCGGCUUGUUAAGUCAGGGGUGAAAUCCUGGAGCUCAACUCCAGAACUGCCUUUGAUACUGGCGAGCUUGAGUCCGGGAGAGGUGAGUGGAACUGCGAGUGUAGAGGUGAAAUUCGUAGAUAUUCGCAAGAACACCAGUGGCGAAGGCGGCUCACUGGCCCGGUACUGACGCUGAGGCGCGAAAGCGUGGGGAGCGAACAGG
rnacentral:rRNA from 1 species